CAAAACAAAGAAACAAAAAGAUGCACAUAGAAUUUCUGCAAAUCGAGGCCUGUGUCCCACCAGUGUCAACAGUACUAAGGUUGAGAUAUCCUCCUCAAAAGCCACCUGGCUGGGGAAGGAGCAGGAAGGACGGACGUUGAUAGGGUAGGCGCAGAGCUGCCUCAGCAUUUCUGCCAGACCUGCAAAUGGAAAUGCUCCAGGUGCAAAGAGGGCCAGAUGCUGUCCUUUGAGGCCAUUGGGCUGGCUGAAGACACCCCGGGAGAACUUUCAGGCUGCAGAGCCCAGAACUUUCCCGUCAUCGCCCAGAGGCUUUCCCACACCACUUGGCAGCCUGCAGACUGGUCUUCAUCCAAGUGCCAAAGGAGAACCCACAGUGCAAGCCAGGAAGACCAUGACAAUCAUCUGUGCUCUUCUCUCUGUGCCUAACAUUGUCAUCUCCCAUAUGCACCACUGGCCCACCUUUGAGAAAGAAUUCAAACUCCACUUCCUGGCCAGGCUGGUCUCGAACUCCUGACCUCAAACCCCACUUUCUUCAUGAGGCUUGCUAUGACCCCACCACACCCACCAGGCCAGACCACCAUCACCUCUCACUGGACCCUGCUACGACCACCUCCCUGAUCUUUCUGCCCUUGGGCUCGCUCCAUGGAGCCCCUUCUCCACACAGCAGCAGCCAGAGGCAGUUUCUGGAGCCCACAGCUGAAUGCGUUGUUCUCCUUGCUCAGGCAGAGAAGAGGACAGAUGGGGUUUUGGUCUCCUGUGUGUAGCCAGAGGGACUGCCUUGUCCUUCGCCAUCUCCAGUAGUUCCUGAGACCACAGCUGCUGAUGGCAAAUGCCCCCAGUCCCAGCCAUGCCCCAGCCCCCUGCAUUGAGAGACCCAGCUCCACCCAGAGGGCAGCUGCAGCCUCCUUCAUCCACAGCCACUGCUGUGACCAAGAGGGACAUUGUCCUGGAAGGCCAGUGGAGCCUUUCUGAGGCCUUCACAGGCCCAAUGUCCACCCUGGUCAUGACACGUAUAAUAACACAGCUCUUGCAUUAAAUACUAUUUACUGCAGCAGAAUUUUUUUUUAAGUUUGUUAUAAUUUUGAAUUUUGUGAAGAGUAAAUUAUUCAUUUUGUUUUUUAACUUGAAUUUAUUCAUUAUACCUAAGUAAGAAUUGAUCUGGGCUAUGCUUGGCUAGUUGGUAUAAUACCACAUCUGUAGACAUUUAAUUAAACAUGUAUUAAUUUUAAUGUUGUUUUCUGCUCACAUUUUAGCAUCAAUUUUUUUUAAAUCAGGGCUUGAAUAUUUGUGUAA
rnacentral:lncRNA from 10 species